rnacentral:ncRNA from 1 species
CACGGGAAGGAUUGACAGAUUGAGAGCUCUUUCUUGAUUCUGUGGGUGGUGGUGCAUGGCCGUUCUUAGUUGGUGGGUUGCCUUGUCAGGUUGAUUCCGGUAACGAACGAGACCUCAGCCUGCUAAAUAGUCAGCAUCGCACCUGCGGUGCGCAGACUUCUUAGAGGGACUAUUGGCGUUCAGCCAAUGGAAGUAUGAGGCGAUAACAGGUCUGGANNNNNN